UACGGAGGGUGCAAGCGUUAUCCGGAUUUACUGGGUUUAAAGGGUGCGUAGGUGGGUUGGUAAGUCAGUGGUGAAAUACUUUCGCUUAACGAAGGAACUGCCAUUGAUACUAUCAAUCUUGAAUGUAGUGGAGGUAGGCGGAAUGCGUCAUGUAGCGGUGAAAUGCUUAGAUAUGACAUAGAACACCAAUUGCGAAGGCAGCUGACUACGCGAGUAUUGACACUGAGGCACGAAAGCGUGGGGAUCAAACAGG
rnacentral:rRNA from 1 species